CAUUGUUCAAUUAUGUCUGUGUGUAUUAACAAUUGGUUUUGUUUUUUCAGAACCAUUAAAGACUACCCAGACGACCCCCCAGCUGGACGAGGAAGAAAGCAGACCAUCUACACCAACCUCUGUAUCUGGAAGUGUUGACUCUGCGUCUGGUAAAAUCACCGUUGAAUGGUCCCAUGCUGGAGGUAACGUAACGGACUUCUUAGUUGUGUACCAGUACAGUGGUCAAACUAACAACAUCUCCCACACCCCGGAAACGGACUUGAGUCAACGACAGAGCGUACAUAUUGACACCGAGCCCGGCUACGAGUACAGGAUCUGGGUUCUGUCUCGGGAUGGUCAGAAUCCGUCUGCUAAGUCGAAGAUCGUCACAGUUGUUACCAAGCCAUCGGUACCGAUCUCAGUAAGUGUAACCAGAAGGCCUGGGCAAGCUCUCGUCGGUUGGCAACCAGGCGAAGGCGGUGCCGAUAAAUUCAUCGUUUUCUCGAACUUUGGGGCAGAAGAUUCUACAGUGACAGUGCCAAAUGACCAAACAGCACCAUUUUCCACGGCACUAACCACCUCUCCGGGUGAAACAUACUCCAUAUGGGUAA